ACGGGUGUAGCUCAAUUGGCAGAGCACCGGAUUCCAAAUCCGGCGGUUGGGGGUUCGAGUCCCUCCGCCCGUG
rnacentral:tRNA from 1 species